rnacentral:rRNA from 1 species
AGUUUGAUCCUGGCUCAGGAUGAACGCUGGCGGCGUGCCUAAUACAUGCAAGUCGAACGAAUCUCUUCGGAGAUGAGUGGCGAACGGGUGAGUAAUACAUAGGUAACCUGCCCCUGUGCGGGGGAUAACAGGAGGAAACUCCUGCUAAUACCGCAUAGCCAUGAGCACCGCAUGGAGCUCAUGCCAAAUAUCCUUUCGGGGAUAGCGCAGGGAUGGACCUAUGGCGCAUUAGCUUGUUGGCGGGGCAACGGCCCACCAAGGCAACGAUGCGUAGCCGGCCUGAGAGGGCGGACGGCCACAUUGGGACUGAGACACGGCCCAGACUCCUACGGGAGGCAGCAGUAGGGAAUUUUCGGCAAUGGGGGAAACCCUGACCGAGCAACGCCGCGUGAGCGAAGAAGGCCUUCGGGUCGUAAAGCUCUGUUGUAAAGGAAGAACGGCGCAUACAGGAAAUGGUAUGCGAGUGACGGUACUUUACCAGAAAGCCACGGCUAACUACGUGCCAGCAGCCGCGGUAAUACGUAGGUGGCGAGCGUUAUCCGGAAUCAUUGGGCGUAAAGAGGGAGCAGGCGGCCGCAAGGGUCUGUGGUGAAAGACCGAAGCUAAACUUCGGUAAGCCAUGGAAACCGGGCGGCUAGAGUGCGGAAGAGGAUCGUGGAAUUCCAUGUGUAGCGGUGAAAUGCGUAGAUAUAUGGAGGAACACCAGUGGCGAAGGCGACGGUCUGGGCCGCAACUGACGCUCAUUCCCGAAAGCGUGGGGAGCAAAUAGGAUUAGAUACCCUAGUAGUCCACGCCGUAAACGAUGGUCACUAAGUGUCGGGGGUCAAACCCCGGUGCUGCAGUCAACGCAAUAAGUGACCCGCCUGAGUAGUACGUUCGCAAGAAUGAAACUCAAAGGAAUUGACGGAAGGGC